ensembl:lncRNA
AAAAUGUUCUUGUCACAACUCAAAUCACAACAAUUCAACCCACUACACCCAACGCAGGCACUACUCUUACAACCUUCAACAACAGUCCUCAAAGUUCACCUACAACUCUCAUCGCAACCGAUCCCAACCAAAGUACCACCAACUCAAAUAAACCUGUAACCACUACUUUUACAAAAGAUGGCACCACCCAACUCUUGUCUACACAGACAAGCCCAUCUGCUGUUGCCAAAAAUUCUGAAUUACCAACAACAGAACCAGACUCUAAAUCUACUGCUUCUCAAAGUCUUGGGACAACGAAAGCACAAACAACUACUGCCUCGAUCAUACCAGGCCAGCGAAGUGAUGAAGAUAUUACAACUAACACUCCUCAAAAAAUCUUUAAUUAUUCCUUUGAUCUAAGCAACAGCACGGAGAAGAACGUCCUGGUUCAAACCUGUAAGACGCUGGGUCAGAAGAUGAAAGGAAAUUGCACCGUGACCGUGGAAAUUCAUGACAAACGAUUAAUUGCAACAGUAACAAUAGAUGGUGAGGGAAAUGGUAUGGCUUCCAAACAGAUUAAAGCCUUAUUAUGGAGGAA